rnacentral:tRNA from 1 species
GGGGUUGUGGCUCAGUGGUAGAGUGCUUGCCUAGCAUGCACAAGGCACUGAGUUCAAGCCUCAGCACCACA